AUCAACCUUCAGGACCAAGGCUUUUGUAACUCCCUCUGCAACUGGAUACUCAACUUCCUCACUGCCAGAGAAGAGAAAAUCUACAUAUCCUUAUUGCCAGGUCUCAGUGGGUAAGGAUUGGUAACAUCAUCUCCUCCUCGCUGACAAUCAACACAGGUGCUGUUUAUUUAGCUCCCUGCUCCAUUCUCUGUACACACGACUGAGUGGCUAAGCACAGCUCCAAUGCUGUCCUCAAAUGUGGCGAUGCCACCAAUGUUGUUGGAUGAAUCAUAGUUGGUGACGAGUCAUCUUACCAGAGCGAGAAUUGACUUUAUACAUACAUGCCCCGUGCACUAAUGGCUCUCAGGAUUAUAUGGACCAAGACUACUAUUACUAAUGCAGUGCUCUUGUGUCCAUUUGGGUUCAUCCUAACAAAUUGAAAUGCACUGCAAGAAUGAGGGGAUGAGCUCCCUGGAAAUUACUGGUAAAUUCUGAGAAUUUGGGCAGAGAACUGAGAGUGAGAGGAAACCAAGGUGGGAAAAUAGGGACUGAGCAACGUAAACCAAAAGAAGAGAGAAAAACACAAACAGAUGGGAGGAAGAUGUACUGGAGAGGAAGAACUCCUGUUGCUGAAUGACUGUAACCUACAAGCUCUGGUGUUCAUCCUGAAGGUUGAACUUCACCUCCCCAAAAUGAAGGUCCAGAAUAAGCAAAGUAAACUAGAUUUGGAUUUGCUUUUAUUUAUAACUUCUGUAAUUUGCUGUGUUUUGCGAAAAGUUAUAAAAUACUACCUGACUUAUAUUAGUCUUGUUGAAUCAGUGAAACUUUCUUGGUUGGAGGCAAUACGGCCAGCAUAGCAGAAUAUUUAAAGUUUUAAUUCAUACAACUUAUUUUUAAAUCUUUUGAUUUUGACUUCCAAUUUCUGUUGUUAUGAAGCAAAUGAUAGGUUGCUGGCUCUACAUUUUGGGACUCCUUACUGAAAAAGAAUGUAGAAGCACAUCCAACAAACAUAGCCAUGGAUGAAGAGCGAUGAUCAUUACUGCUUCCUCAGGGGCAAUCGUGAUGAGCAAUAAAUAAUAUGGCAACAAUCUUUAAGUGAACAACAUACGAAUUUUGCCCACUCAGUUAUAGUGAGAGUGUUAACAUUUGUAUGGUAAUCUUGUUGGGAGAAGUUCUAUUUGAUUUCUCUAGUGGUGGAAUGAGGACAAAAACUAAAAUGGGUCCAUGCAUAGUAGCACAUGAUCAAAUACACCAUGAAUGUUGUACUUGUUUGAGUUUUAAAUAUUGUUAACAAGGAUGAAAAACAUUAACCAGAAUGAUCCAGAAGAAAAUUUUGAUAGACUCUCAUGUAAUUUUUGCCUUUUUUCUUUGAGCAGGAGCAGUUUAACAAGACUAAAUUAGAUUUGACUGAUUUGGCCUUUACUGCUUACAAGCGCAAUUUAAAAUAACCACCAUUGAUGCUUUAGGUUCUUUGAUGUGCAUUUGCAUCGUGGAUGUAAGUUUAACAGGGUGUUUUUUUUAUUACAAAUGACAUUGCAGAAGAGAUGAAGAAAUUUCUUCUGGUCAUGUCUGUGCCAGGAAGUGAAAUAGUUGAAGAAUUGGUUAAAUUAGCUGAACUAGUGUCCCACACCCAGUACUAUAGUGCAAAGAAACACAUUUAGCAGCUGGAAUCAGUACCCAGAUGAAGGUACUGCUGAUGUUGCAACCAAUUCAAGAUGGAUUACUGAGUUUGAAACUAAACUGGUAAGAUUUUCCUGUGACUGCAUAGUCUGUAGAAUCUGGGGCAUGGCAGGUGCUCAGCGAGAAGAAACUGAAUUUUUUUAACCAAAUGUUUGAUAUUACCCAGGCACCAAAGAUAGUGACCAAGCAAUCAUGAAAUUUGCAGCACCCCUACCCAGCAAAAGGCUCAGACUGUUGACAUGACAGUGCCCAGCUUUUCAUAACCUUUGAGAAAAUGAAGAACUGCUUGAAGUGGAAAUGUUAUGAUUGUGCUAUCAUGUGAAGUGGAGCUAAUGUCAAGUCAAGUUUAUUGUCAUUUUUCUAUAUACACGCAUAUAAUGUAUAUAACCGCAUAAAGUAUAUAGAAAUGAGGUGUUUCGAUUCAGUUCUCAAAUCGGUUAACUCAACCUCUCUUUGUGCUCGCCACUGCCUUUUGCAGUUUAAGAUUGUUCAUAGAGCCCAUAUGUCUAAAUCUAAACUAUCUUGAUUCCACCCUAGCGUUAGUCCGCUCUGUGGUAAAUGCAAGAGGGGCGUGGCCUCUCUCAUCCAUAUGUACUGGUUCUGUCCUAGCUUGGAGAAAUUCUGGAAAGAUGUCUUCACUACGUUAUCGUGUAUUCUGAAUCAGCACCUAGAACCAAACCCCUUAAUUGCUCUGUUCGGUUUUUGGGGCGAGACAGAUUUAUGUCUGGGUCCGACCAAAUGCCGAAUAUUAUCCUUUGCCUCACUCCUGGCUAGACGCUUGAUCCUCCUCAGAUGGAGAGAUGCUGCCCCGCCCACUCAUGCUCAAUGGCUUAAUGACAUCAUGGCCUGUCUGGACCUCGAAAAAAUUCAUUAUUCAGUUCUCAAUUCAGAUCUAAAGUUCCAUAAGGUCUGGGGACCUUUUAUCGAGUACUUUCAUAACCUUCCUCUUGACUAGGGUUUUUUUUUCUUUUCGGUCCCUUGCUUUCAGCUCCUUUUUUUUUCUGGUAGAAGGCAUUAUUACCCUCUGUUGCUGAGUGUAUUCACAGUCUGGGAGUUUGGCUGUCCUGACUUAUACUCUCUAUAUUGUGUUGUGGUUAGUCUGGAGUUGCUGUUGUUUUUUUCUUGUGUUGUGGGGCUUGGGGAGGACACUAAGCUUACUUGUCUUUAAUUUAGGUGUUUUUUUUUGCUAAAUUCUCUUCCUUUGCAGCAUAUUGUUAUUGUAUGCUUAAUUUUGCACUGUUUUAAUG